UACGGAGGAUCCAAGCGUUAUCCGGAUUUAUUGGGUUUAAAGGGUGCGUAGGCGGCCUGUUAAGUCAGGGGUGAAAGACGGUAGCUUAACUAUCGCAGUGCCCUUGAUACUGAUGGGCUUGAAUGUACUUGAGGUAGGCGGAAUGUGACAAGUAGCGGUGAAAUGCAUAGAUAUGUCACAGAACACCAAUUGCGAAGGCAGCUUACUAAAGUAUGAUUGACGCUGAGGCACGAAAGCGUGGGGAUCAAACAGG
rnacentral:rRNA from 1 species